rnacentral:misc_RNA from 1 species
UUUCCGUAGGUGAACCUGCGGAAGGAUCAUUACCGAGUGAGGGCCCUCUGGGUCCAACCUCCCACCCGUGUUUAUUAUACCUUGUUGCCUCGGCGGGCCCGCCGUAUGGCCGCCGGGGGGCUUCUGCCCCCGGGCCCGCGCCCGCCGAAGACAUCUCGAACUCUGUCUGAAGAUUGUAGUCUGAGUAAAAAUAUAAAUUAUUUAAAACUUUCAACAACGGAUCUCUUGGUUCCG